GAGAGAGAGAGGGAGAGAAAAGAAAAAAAAAAAGAAAGAUGGUGGUUCUUGGUGUGAAAUAAUUAAUAAAACGGAAAAAGAUAAUCCCUACUUAAUACAUACCGUGCUGAUUUUUCGCACGCGACGCGAGCCGUACGUGCUGUACUGCGACUUGUUGAGCGACACGCGCGACAUUCUAACGACCGCCUUAUAGUCACUCUCCUCGCUCCUUCCUCGGCUCCUCUUUUUUAACGUUCAGAGUUCUAUUUUCGUAGAGUGCGCGCAGCUGCGCGCGCGCGCCGCGUUAAGAAACGGACAGAAGGAGGAGAAUCGGCCGAAAGAAUAAAGAAUAAAGUAUACGACCAGAGAGAGAGAGAGAGAGAGAGAGAGAGAGAGACGUGGACAGACAGACAGAGGGGAAGAGAGGGGAAGAGAAACGAGUAUAAACGAGUAGAGAUUCAAUAUACAGAGAGGGAGAAAGAAAGAAAGACAGACAGAGAGAGAGAGAGAGAGAGAGAGAGAGAGAGAGAGAGAGAAAGAGACAGGAUAGCGAAACAGGCCGGGAAAGAGAGAAUAGAGAGAGAGAGAGAGAGAAAGAAAGAGCGAGAGAGAGAGAGAGCAAUGAGAAACAGAAAGGUAAAGAAUAGUAUUAAGGAUGAAGGGAGGGAGGGAGAAAGGGAGGAAGGGACAAAAAGAGAGAGAGAGAGAGAGAGAGAGAGAGAGAGAGAUAGAAAGAGAGAGGAGUCCUUCUUCCCUUAGGUUCUCUCUCUCGGGUACACACACACGACAAAACUCGCGCGCGCGUCCGUCGAGAGGAGUAUAUCACUCGUCGUAAUCCGCUGCCAUGCUCGUUCUUCGCUCACGCUCAUCUGCACUUCUUCUUCCGCACACGGUGCAAGUUACUAUCGCACUGACAUAGGCACGCUCGAACGAACGAGCGUGCAUGCAUGCGUACGUACGUCGUGCGUGCGUGCGUGCGUGCGUGCGUGCCCCCGCGAAGUCAGUCUACGGUGAGUGAGUGAACGUGUACAAGGGAGAGAUGUGUGGGAAGAGGGGGGAGUGAGAGAGAGAGAGCGAUAGAGAGUGAGAAGGGCGGAGAGGGGAGAGAGUUAACACUGUGAAGCAGCGGACAACGGCGACGGCAGUGACGAUGACGGCGAAGGACAAAAUUUGAACUUGUUAAUUUUUGUUCCUUUUAAAUGAGAGAGUCUCGAUAAUUAUGGAAUAAUAGAUUUUAAAAAUAUAAUAAUAAUAAAAACAAAAAUUAGAAAAAAAAAAUAAAAGAAAAGAAAAAAGAAAAAGGUGUAUUACGUAUAGAGAAGCGUACCGAAAAGUAAUAACGGAUAAGGUCGAUUGAGAGAUCGAUUGUAUUCGAUAUAUCUCGUAGGCUCUUUUUCUCGUUUUCGAGAACACGCGCUGAUGUUGCAUAGCAGUUUUGUAAUGAUGUGUGUGUGUGUGUGUGUGUGUGUCGAGGUUACUUGUACCUUGUCCAAUAGUCACGUUUUACAAAGUAUCAAGAAAGGCCGCGAGAUAUGCCGAUAAAUGUCGUCGAUUCACGGGUUAAAAGGUACAAGAAGCGGGAGAUUCAAAUGUUCCUUCGAUCGACGAGGUUAUAAACGGAAUCUUUUCAAGUGACACACAAAACACAGAUCGUACUUCGAAGGAAGCUUUUGGAUAUUACGUAAUACAAAAAAAAAAAAAAAAAGAAAAAGGAAAAAAAAAGAGAAAAAUUGUUCCGCUCUUGUUGGGAUAAAUCGAUUUUGAAAUCGUAACCAGACUACAUUUUACUCUGCGAUCGAUGGAUAAUAGCGACACGAGUCACGUUUCAUGGAAAACCUUUACGAUGUGAACACGAAAUUAGCAAGGAGAAGGAAGGUCGAAACGAUUCUGAAAGUCGAGUAAACAGAAAUACAUUGUAUUAUGAGGCAAAUGGAAAAGUUCACAAUAACAGAAGUUAUGAUUGUAAUAUUCCAAAAAAGAAGGAUAUACACGAUGCGGGAUUUUAAAUCCUGCGUCUCUUCAUUGCAAAGACACUAUCAGAGACAUCACUGAUCGAAAAGACACUAGGAUUUCUAGUGAUUUAUAAUAAUAUUUCAAACAUUUUAUAAUAAUUUAAUCUCCAAUACAACUAAUGGGUUAUAUUUAAA